AUUGAACGCUGGCGGAAUGCUUUACACAUGCAAGUCGAACGGCAGCACGGGGCAACCUGGUGGCGAGUGGCGAACGGGUGAGUAAUACAUCGGAACGUGCCCAAUCGUGGGGGAUAACGUAGCGAAAGUUACGCUAAUACCGCAUACGAUCUACGGAUGAAAGCGGGGGAUCGCAAGACCUCGCGCGAAUGGAGCGGCCGAUGUCAGAUUAGGUAGUUGGUGGGGUAAAAGGCUCACCAAGCCAACGAUCUGUAGCUGGUCUGAGAGGACGACCAGCCACACUGGAACUGAGACACGGUCCAGACUCCUACGGGAGGCAGCAGUGGGGAAUUUUGGGACAAUGGGCGCAAGCCUGAUCCAGCCAUUCCGCGUGCAGGAUGAAGGCCUC
rnacentral:rRNA from 1 species